rnacentral:rRNA from 1 species
GUCGUAACAAGGUUUCCGUAGGUGAACCUGCGGAAGGAUCAUUAACACUAAUCCAAUCAACUCAACGAAGCCUUUAGUUGCAGCAGUGGUCUUUCGGGAUAGCUGCUGUAGCAUCUUACAAAACUAAAUCAACAAAAGUUAUCUAACUAAGUAACCAAACAAAAACCAAAUUCUCAACGGUGGAUGUCUUGGUUCCCACAACGAUGAAGAACGCAGCGAAGUGCGAUAAGCAGUGCGAAUUGCAGAACCGUGAGUCAUCAGAUUUUUGAACGCAACUGGCGCCUUAUGGGGCAACCCAUAGGCACGCCUGGUCCAGUGUCUUGUUCUCUCCUCACCAAAAUCUUAAUGCGAUAGAUACCCUUCUAUUGCUAAACAUGAAAGCACUCUGCGCUCUGCGAGUGACCUUCGGGUCACACUCGAUGCGGCAGUCACAUUUUCUAAUGUGAACUCAUUGAGAGUAGAGGCAGUGCAGCGCAAGCUGCCAGUGCUUAGACACACCAACUUAGGUACAGUAUCUGGGCUCAGGUGGGACCACCCGCUGAACUUAAGCAUAUCACUAAGCGGAGGAAAAGGAACUAACUAGGAUGGCCUCAGUAAUGGCGAAUGAAGCGGCCAGAGCCCAAGAUGGUAAUCUCCGUCUCUCAGGCGGCGAAUUGUAAUCUUGAGAUGCUAAACUCAAUUGGUGGUGUCGUAGAAGUGCCCUGGAACGGGCCGCCAAAGAGGGUGACAGCCCCGUACGUGACGACGCCGCCUAACGAGUUGGUAUUCAAAGAGUCGGGUUGUUUUGUAUUGCAGCCCUAAGCGGGAGAUAAACUUCUUCUAAGGCUAAAUAUAUGUGGGAAACCGAUAGCGAACAAGUACUGUGAAGGAAAGAUGAAAAGCACUUUGGAAAGAGAGUCAAAAGACCUGAAACCGUUGAGGAGGAAGCGGUAGAGAUGAAUUCUACGGCGAUGCGCGGGGAAGACGAUCUAAGCACGGCGGAGGUAUGUCACGUCAAAGGGCUGCUUUUGUCUCAAGCGGAAAUCGUUCACUUGCGCGGCGUCGUGAGGCAGGAUGGAGUGACGUGAUCACAAAGGCCUGGUUGAUCUGGGGGCCCUCGGGUUCCAAUCCUCCGGUGCCGGUGGCUGCGUGGCUUGAGAGUGCUUUGUGCGAUCCUGUCAAAAUGGUCUUUACCGACUCGUCUUGAAACACGAACCAAGGAGUCUAACGUACACGCGAGUAUGCCAGUGGAGAAACUGACAUGCGCAAUGAAGGUGAGUGAUGCCAAGCGCAAGCAGCAGCAUCGACCGACCAUGAUUCUUAAUGAAAGGUUUGAGUACGAGCGUGUCCGCUAGGACCCGAAAGAUGGUGAACUAUGCGUGA